CCAGAGUGCACAAUCCUGAGUCUAUCCAGUGACUGGCAUAGAUGGCAUGUUGCCUAGGCAGACAUGUUUGCCCUGCAAUCACCGUCUUCACACUAUCUCACUGAAGGGCCCUGUAUGUGUUCUCUGCCAAAAGUUGGUUGUCAUAGUUAUUGUGGAAUGUUUGUAUGGAAAAUAUUUUAAGAGUUCUAUAACAUGUAGACUAUAGUGUUUCAAAGCUUCUAGAGGUGAAACCUGUCACCUGGGGCAGGUUGGUCUCUCAGUCAGGAGUGAAAACAACUGACAUCCAUCGACCCAGCCUGGCGAAGUAUUCAUAGUCUAGAGACCGUGCAAGUUUGAGCCUUCAUAAAGCACAGAAAAGCCUCAAGAAAAAGAUCUUGAAUAGGGGAGAUCAUCAGGGGUGAGCUGAAGUUAGUGAGAGGCCCUGGUUAUGAAGAGAAACAAAAGGCCUGGAACUGUAUAAAGGGGACAAAGAAGAGCACAACUUGUGCCACACAAGAUAGGAUCCAUUAUGGAGACAACACUCUGCCACCACAAGUGCCAUGAAAACUGGAUCUCAGCUCCCAUGAAAACUGGAUCCCAGCUUUCUCCACCGGACAAGCGCUGCACAGACUGACCAUUGGAUGCCAAUUCAUGUCUGCCCUUUGAUUGGAUGAACUUAACAUAAGAACAUAAGAACGGCCAUACUGGGUCAGACCAAAGGUCCAUCUAGCCCAGUAUCCUGUCUUUCAACAGUGGCCAAUGCUGGGUGCUUCAGAAAGAAUGAACAGAACAGAUCAUGUUGAAUAGCAUUGGAUCUAGAACCACUCACUGUGGAACCCCACUAGAAAUACCCACAUUUGAUGACGAUUCCUCAUUGACAACUACUUUUUGAAAACUACAGCUGACGGCUCUAAAAUUCUAUAUGACUUUCUUAUAAAAGGCCUGCAGUAUCAGUGAAACCACCUUGGAUUUACACAAUAAUGAAUGAGAUCAGAACAUAUUGCUAUACAAGGCACUACUUGCAUGACUAAAGCAUUGAAGGAUUGGGACCCAACUGAGAUCAUAUGGCUAAUAGUGGUACGUAAUGCACAGCCUCGUCGUACAAUAUAGAAAGCAAUACCAAAAGGGAGCAGGAGCUUCCGGCAGGGUGAACACUUCACCUUUCCCCCAGCAACGGCUGAGGUACCAGCACAACUUCUGAAUCAAGAAAAUGUUAGGCCUGGUCUACACUAGGACUUUAAUUCGAAUUUAGCAGCGUUAAUUCGAAUUAACCACGCACCC